GGUUUGAUCAUGGCUCAGAUUGAACGCUGGCGGGGAUGCUCUACACAUGCAAGUCGAACGGCAGCACGGACUUCGGUCUGGUGGCGAGUGGCGAACAGGUGAGUAAUGUAUCAGGGCGAUGCCUAGUAGCGGGGGAUAACUACGCGAAAGCGUAGCUAAUACCGCAUACGCCCUUCGGGGAAAGCGGGGGGACCUUCGGGCCUCGCACUAUUAGAGCGGCCGAUAUCGGAUUAGCUAGUUGGUGGGGUAACGGCUCGCAAGGCGACGAUCCGUAGCUGGUUUGAAGGUUGACCAGCCACACUGGGACUGAGACACGGCCCAGACUCCUACAGGAGGCAGCAGUGGGGAAUUUUGGACAAUGGGGAAACCCUGAUCCAGCCAUCCCGCGUGUGCGAUGAAGGCCUUCGGGUUGUAAAGCACUUUUGGCGGGAAAGAAACGGCACGGGAUAAUACCCCGUGCAACUGACGGUACCUGCAGAAUAAGCACCGGCUAACUACGUGCCAGCAGCCGCGGUAAUACGUAGGGUGCAAGCGUUAAUCGGAAUUACUGGGCGUAAAGCGUGCGCAGGCGGUUCGGAAAAGAAAAGAUGUGAAAUCCCAGAGCUUAACUUUUGGAACUGCAUUUUUAACUACCGAAGCUAGAGUGUGUCAGAGGGAGGUGGAACUCCGCGUGUAGCAGUGAAAUGCGUAGAUAUGCGGAGGAACACCGAUGGCGAAGGCAGCCUCCUGGGAUAACACUGACGCUCAUGCACGAAAAAGCGUGGGGAGCAAACAGGAUUAGGCUCCCUGGUAGUCCCGCCCUAAACGAUGUCAACUAGCUGUUGGGAGCCUUCGGGCCUUGGUAGCGCAACUAACGCGUGAAGUUGACCGCCUGGGGGAAGUACAGUCGCAAGAUUAAAACUCAAAGGAAUUGACGGGGACCCGCACAAGCGGUGGAUGAUGUGGAUUAAUUCGAUGCAACGCGAAAAACCUUACCCACCUUGACAUGUCUGGAAUCCCGAAGAGAUUUGGGAGUGCUCGCAAGAGAACCGGAACACAGGUGCUGCAUGGCUGUCGUCAGCUCGUGUCGUGAGAUGUUGGGUUAAGUCCCGCAACGGUACAGCGCAUCAUUAGUUGCUACGAAAGGGCACUCUAAUGAGACUGCCGGUGACAAACCGGAGGAAGGUGGGGAUGACGUCAAGUCCUCAUGGCCCCUUAUAGGUGGGCUUCACACGUCAUACAAUGGUCGGGACAGAGGGUCGCCAACCCGCGAGGGAGCCAAUCCCGAAACCGAUCGUAGUCCGGAUCGCAGUCUGCAACUCGACUGCGUGAAGUCGGAAUCGCUAGUAAUCGCGGAUCAGCAUGUCGCGGUGAAUACGUUCCCGGGUCUUGUACACACCGCCCGUCACACCAUGGGAGUGGGUUUUACCAGAAGUAGUUAGCCUAACCGUAAGGAGGGCGAUUACCACGGUAAGUUCAUGACUGGGGUGAAGUCGUAACAAGGUAA
rnacentral:rRNA from 1 species